GCUGGUCGAAGGGUAUAAAUUUCUCUUUCAUUUUUUCGCUUAAACACGUAGUUUCAAAUUGCAAACUUUAUAGGAGAGAAAAAGCAUAGUAUUUUUGAACUUUCGGUUAGUGUUGUUUGGGUUUCUGGAACUUGACUAAGACUAAGUUGUGUGUUAGGCUAAGUUUCAAAAUUAUGAAAAUUUAGGUUCAAAACUUUAUAGUGCAUGGUUUAUCUUUGUUUAGAU
rnacentral:misc_RNA from 1 species